UACGAGGGGUGCAAGCGUUAUUCGGAAUGACUGGGCGUAAAGGGUGUGUAGACGGCGUGCUAAGUCUUUUGUUAAAUACCUCAGCCUAACUGAGGAUCAGCGAAGGAAACUGACAUGCUAGAGGUUGGAAGAGAGAAGUGGAAUUCUCGGAGUAGCGGUAAAAUGCGUAGAUCUCGAGAGGAACACCAAUGGCGAAGGCAGCUUCUUGGUCCAUACCUGACGUUGAGACACGAAAGCGUGGGGAGCAAACAGG
rnacentral:rRNA from 1 species